rnacentral:lncRNA from 1 species
GGCAUCGAUUAAAUACGGAAACCGGAUGCCUCCCGCCUGGUUUGCCCGGUGGAGUCGCCAUCUGGUCCACCGAUACUUAGGUGGUGCUGGUAUGACGUACUCACACGUGGAAGGGGCUGCCAUGCUGAUGGGGCUCCGCCACGGAUGGGGAGGGUAUAGGUAAAAAAUGUUCUAUCAGUAUCAAACACUCUCCAACGAGAAAGGGGCCCAGUGAGGGUUGC